CACAGAUGUCCUAAUUCUGUCCUAUUAUAGCCUGAAGAGUUGAGGGCUGCUUCAGUCUUCAGCUGUGAGAUUUUGGUUCUCAUUUCUUCUGAAGGUGCAUCAUCCUGACCUGGCACUCAGAGGGGAAGCCAAAUUAUAAUCUCUUGCAUGUGUGACCAAAAGAAAAACAAGGCAGGAAACAAAAAGAACAGUCCUC